AAUUUUUGACAAUGGGGGAAACGUUGAACCAGCAAUGCCGCAUGCAGGAUGAAGGCCUUCGUGUUGUACACAGCUUUUGUACGGAGCGAAAAGUCUGGGGCUAAUACCCUGGGAUCAUGACGGUAGCGUAAGAAUAAGCCACGGCUAACGAAGUGCCAGCAGCCGCGGUAAUACGUAGGGUGCAAGCGUUAAUCGGAAUUACUGGGCGUAAAACGUGCGCAGGCGGUUUUGUAAGACAGUGGUGAAAUCCCCGGGCUCAACCUGGGAACUGCCAUUGUGACUGCAACGCUGGAGUACGGCAGAGUGGGAUGGAAUUCCGCGUGUAGCAGUGAAAUGCGUAGAUAUGCGGAGGAACACCGAUGGCGAAGGCAAUCCCCUGGGCCUGCACUGACGCUCAUGCACGAAAGCGUGGGGAGCAAACAGG
rnacentral:rRNA from 1 species